GGGGUUACAGUGAUGAAAUGAAAACCCGAGUUCCCCACCAUCAAAAUCUACGGAGUUGGAACUUGGAAGCAAACUUGCAGAAUGAUACGAGGAGUAAUAGUGAUGAAUGAUAGAGGCAAGCCUCGUCUCGUCAAAUUCUACGAAUUUCAGCCUGCGGAGAAGCAGCAGGAGCUCAUUAGAAGCAUUUACAGAGGCAAGCUCCUAUUUAUUUACAUUCUAUGCAGUA